rnacentral:lncRNA from 1 species
AUUUAUCUUCAAAUAUGCUAUUCAUGCCAUUAUCUAUUACUUGAGACCAAAAGUAUACUUGGAAUUGGAAUAAAAUAAGAAUAAAUAGAAGUCAGCAGUAUCAAGCAAUAAUCAGCAGCAAUAGGCAAUAAUCCACAGCAACUUUGAAUUAAUUUCUACCCAGAAAUGAUACCAAAUGGACAAUAGUUAAUUCCAAAUGAAUGACACCAAUGAACACCCAAAACCAACUCAAAUAAGCUCAAUUGAACAUGAAGAUGACUCCAGGAACUCUUGAAGCUUCAACUACUGAAUCACCAGGACAGAUU